UUUUUCAUGACAGCUAUUUUGAAUAUUUUAUUAUUUGUCGAUAUAGCCGCAAUAGAAUCACAUUUGUAUAUUUAAACCCUCCACCUAUUACGGUUAACGAGAUACAUACAACCCGCUGACAGAUAGACGGAAGAAUUGACGGGUACCGGAAACUACGGACGAACGUCUUCAUCCGUGACACGAAUACUUUCUUCAACACACGCGA